GACCGACAGCCAUGGGCAUCAGAGGUUUUUAUAGAAACAAACAUUCUAUACUGACAGCCAUGGGUAUCAGAGGUUUCUAUAGAAACAAAGGUUCUAGACUGACAGCCAUGGGCAUCAGAGGUUUCUUUAGAAACAAACAUUCUUUACUGACAGCCAUGGGCAUCAGAGGUUUCUUUAGAAACAAACAUUCUUUACUGACAGCCGUGGGUAUCAGAGGUUUCUAUAGAAACAAAGGUUCUAGACUGACAGCCAUGGACAUCAGAGGUUUCUAUAGAAACAAAAGUUCUAGACCGACAGCCAUGGGCAUCAGAGGUUUUUAUAGAAACAAACAUUCUAUACUGACAGCCAUGGGUAUCAGAGGUUUCUAUAGAAACAAAGGUAUGGAUGAUUUACACCAUGUAUUUAUUAAACUUUCAUAAAGAUGUAACAUGGCUAUGAGAACCAUAUCUAAGUCCAUAAGCUAAAGUUUGCAGUGUUAGUGUAGACAAGACGAUGGCUGAUCGUUGUGAAGGUAUUUGGUGAUAGGAAGCAGCACUUUAGCUGUGAUGAUGUUGUUUUUACACAUGUUGAACUUUAUAUAUUUGAAUGUUGCCGUACAUAUACAACUGUUGCCUUUAUUUCUAUACCACUGUUGUCCUCCGUUUACAUCAUUAGAUAUACAUAGAUAUACAUAGAUAUACAUAGAUAAUGUGUGAAUUGUUGUACAAGUGUGUAUGUGUAAAGGGUGUCCCAACGAAUCACCACAAGGACUGGUGAUGUUUUCUUUACCUUUCCAGAGAUAAUCUAGUUCAUAGAUCAGUAAUACUUAAACUAGCCUAUCUCUUGAAAGUUAAAAAUCGGCAUUCCAAGCGUCUGUGAAGUCAAUUUGUAAGUGUAAUGUUGUAUGUGUAUCGUGUACGUGUAAUGUUGUAUGCAUUUUGUGUACCAGUCCUGUAGUAUGCGUGUCGUGUACCAGUCCUGUAGUAUGUGUGUUGUGUACCUGUCCUGUAGUAUGUGUGUUGUGUACCUGUCCUGUAGUAUGUGUGUUGUGUACCUGUCCUGUAGUAAGUGUGGCAUGUACCUGUCCUGUAUUAUGUGUGACGUGUACCUGUCCUGUAGUAUGUGUGUUGUGUACCUGUCCUGUAGUAUGCGUGUCGUGUACCUGUCGUGUAGUAUGCGUGUCGUGUACCUGUCGUGUAGUAUGCGAGUCGUGUACCUGUCCUGUAGUAUGCAUGUCGUGUACCUGUCAUGUAGUAUGCGUGUCGUGUACCUGUCCUGUAGUAUGCGUGUCGUGUACCAGUCCUGUAGUAUGCGUGUCGUGUACCUGUCCUGUAGUAAGUGUGACGUGUACCUGUCCUGUAGUAAGUGUGACUGUCAGUUUGAGCCCUUUUGCUCGUUUUCAGGAAGGGUUCUUUGUUUUACAUAAAAUCAUGUAAAUGUUGUUUGCUUGUGAGCUGUUGUGUUGUACACAUGUUUGUAUUCGAGCCCUUUUGCUCAUAUAGGGGUUUGUUUUAUUUACACGAAGCAGAACAAUAUAUCCUGUUUCCAGUGGUGUUGGAUUUUAGUGUGCCAAUCAGUCUGUGUUUCAUGGAGAAACGUUGUAAAUAUAUUGUCAAAAUAAUGCUAGCUAUACCAACAUACUGUAGCUAGAAACGAUGCGUCUUAUUCUCCGAUCGUUUCCGGUUUGUAAGGGUACUGCUGUAUAGCAAAAAAUAUUUUAGGUUAUCACAAUUGUUUUUAAUUUUUCAAAGAAAAACGUCCAGAAUACAGAUAUAAUGACGGAUACUGAUGCCACAGCACAGAACUGCCAAGCUUGGUGCUAUCGAUGUUUCCCAUAAAAACAACUCUGGUAAAAACGCGUUUGAUUUUAAACAGAACUGUCAAGCUUGUUGAUUUUUUUUCUAAUUUCGAACAGACCUGCUAGGCAUGGUGAAACGAGCAGAGCCGUCAAUCUCGAUAGCCGGUGCCUAAUACUGAACAUGAGGUAACUGUCUCCCGUUACAAGGGUUUAGCUAGGAAACAUUACAGACAAGUUUUAACAUCCAUCACUGUGUGUUGACAAUAUUUUAUGUUGCUGAGUAGUGCUGUAAUGAAAAAGUUUUUAAUGAUUUUAUUGUUUCCAAAUAAAUGAUUAUGAAAU
rnacentral:lncRNA from 1 species